UUUAGUUUGAUGCUCAUGGCUUGUUCCUUUUUUCAUAAUCUUAAAAGCUGCUAAUUCAAGUCCUAUACAGGAGUGUCCAGAGUGGGUUCUUUGUUCACCUCCAGCGCUCUGUAUCGUGCAUGUGAUGUAGGCACCUGGUGUGUGUGUUGAGUUACAACGUUUUACAGUUCAUGGCUUUCUAGCUCUCGUUCAUGGUGGUGAUUGGUAGCUUUGUGUACUUAUCCAAGGCUGAUGAAGCGGUUAAGAGGACAAUACACACAGUUGUUGCCAUUCUCACAGUUUUACACACAGUUGUUGUCAUUCUCACAGCUUUAUUGGCCCUGACUAAAGCAACAAGGUAUAUGAGAUGUUUGACUGAAUGGCUCUGAUAAUUUGCACCUAGAUACUAAUUCUACACCAUUACAUUGGCUUCUUAUGUUUGCCACAUCUAUUUGCAUAGUGAGCUUUCAUUCAUAUAUCUAUAAGUAGGAUUGGAAACUAUGCUUCAAUAAUAUAUUCUCUCAUAGAGUUAUCCUCUUUUGAAACACUAUGGUGCUGCUUUAUAGAA